rnacentral:misc_RNA from 1 species
UCUCCGUUGGUGAACCAGCGGAGGGAUCAUUACAGGACUCGCAAGACUCCUACAACCCUGUGAACUUAACUAUAAGCACGUUGCUUCGGCGGGUGUCUCGGAGGGGGUUCUCCCUCCCCGAGACGCUAAACCCGCCGGCAGCCUACUAUACUCUGUCUCUUUGCGUUGGCAUCUCGAGUACAAUCAAACAAGUUAAAACUUUCAACAACGGAUCUCUUGGCUCUC